GACGUAGGGGGCGAGCGUUGUCCGGAUUCAUUGGGCGUAAAGAGCGCGUAGGCGGCCCGGAAAGUGGGUGUGAAAACCCGAGGCUCAACCUCGGGCGUGCAUUCCAAACUCCGGCUCGAGGCAGGUAGGGAGAUCGGAAUUCCUGGUGUAGCGGUGAAAUGCGCAGAGUAUCAGGAGGAACACCGGUGGCGAAGGCGGAUCUCUGGGCCUGAUCUGACGCUGAGGCGACGAAAGCUAGGGAGCGAACAGG
rnacentral:rRNA from 1 species